GUGAAUCAUCGAAUUUUUGAACGCAAAUUGCACUCUCUGGUAUUCCGGAAAGCAUGCCUGUUUGAGGGUCAGUAAAAUUAAAAACGGCGUUGUUGCUACCCGUAGUGGUGUGUGAUGCACCGGAAUUGAGUCGUUCUUUACCUUUGGUUUAUGUGACUUAAAAUUAUGUUAGAUUUUCGAACUUAGUUAAAUCAUUACUUACGUUAGUAAUAUCACAUAUUAGGUG
rnacentral:misc_RNA from 1 species